rnacentral:rRNA from 1 species
UACGAAGGGGGCUAGCGUUGCUCGGAAUCACUGGGCGUAAAGGGUGCGUAGGCGGGUCUUUAAGUCAGGGGUGAAAUCCUGGAGCUCAACUCCAGAACUGCCUUUGAUGCUGAAGAUCUUGAGUCCGGGAGAGGUGAGUGGAACUGCGAGUGUAGAGGUGAAAAUUCGUAGAUAUUCGCAAGAACACCAGUGGCGAAGGCGGCUCACUGGCCCGGUACUGACGCUGAGGCACGAAAGCGUGGGGAGCAAACAGG